GAUGAACGCUGGCGGCGUGCUUAACACAUGCAAGUCGAACGAUGAACCGGAGCUUGCUCUGGGGAUUAGUGGCGAACGGGUGAGUAACACGUGGGCAACCUGCCCCAGACACCGGGAUAACCAUUCGAAAGGAUGGCUAAUACCGGAUACGACCACUUCGGGCAUCCGAUGGUGGUGGAAAGGAUUCUGGUCGGGGAUGGGCCCGCGGCCUAUCAGCUUGUUGGUGGGGUAAUGGCCUACCAAGGGGACGUCGGGUAGCCGGCCGGAGAGGGCGACCGGCCACACUGGGACUGAGACACGGCCCAGACUCCUACGGGAGGCAGCAGUGGGGAAUAUUGCGCAAUGGGCGAAAGCCUGACGCAGUGACGCCGCGUGAGGGACGAAGGUCUUCGGAUUGUAAACCUCUUUCAGCAGGGAUGAAGCGAAAGUGACAGUACCUGCAGAAGAAGCACCGGCUAACUACGUGCCAGCAGCCGCCGUAAGAC
rnacentral:rRNA from 1 species